CACGCCUCCUACUUGCCACGUUAUGAUUACUGACUUAGCGUAGCAAUUUUUUAAACCCGAGAAUGAGAUGGAAAGAUAAGUACGCGGAGGUUGCUAAGUGGUCCUCAGUAUUGAGACGUAGCUGUAAUUGUAUCGAACAAUAUCGGUGUUUUUGAAAUAAACUGUUGAAUUUUUAUAAACGAUUUUGCAAUGUGGGAGGGCGCUGGGAAGGCGGCGGUAUCGAGCGUGGGCGCGCCGCCCUAGCGGGACAGAAGCCCUACAGUCGAGUCCGCACAGAGGCAGAGCGCGCACGCCCGACGCCGCGCCGGCACUCGCCGCUCACUGCACAUGACAAUAUCCCCCGCGUACACACGGCCCCGACACACUGCACGUGCAUGCAACCGCCGCGGCUACCACGCGUGUCUCUGCGCCGAUACAAACCUCGUUUCGUAAACGUCACGUGUAACCUUCGUUUUCUAUAAUAAUAAUUGGCUCGAAAAAUAUUAAAAAAUAAUAGUGUGACAAUAAAUAAUAUGAUACGUGACAGAAAAACAGUGGUUAUUGUAUAAAUUGGGCGGCGGCGGCAAAUCGUCUACGUCAUGCUACGAGACAGCAGCUGUCCUCAUCGGACGAGAUCGCCACAAUGGACCUCAUUAUCUUGCGCCGGCUCCGACUCCCCCAACUGAAAGGAAUUUUCCAAGGUGUAGGAGUACCUACGACACCAUGCCACCUAAGCCCCGCACCGGCGUGGUAGGCGCUCUGCUGAGGGUCGCGCGUCCUCUCCUGUGACUAGCCAGAGUCCUCGCGCACGGCACGGGCGGCGGAUUGCCCCGCACCGGCGUGGUAGGCGCUCUGCUGAGGGUCGCGCGUCCUCUCCUGUGACUAGCCAGAGUCCUCGCGCACGGCACGGGCGGCGGAUUAGGCGUGGGGCGCGGCGCGUGGCGGCGGC